GAGGGGGUGACAUAGUGACAGAGUGAGGGAGGUGGUGACUGUCACUAGUCACCACCUCCCUCACUCUGUCCCUAGUCACCCCUCCCUC